GCAGAAAUGUAGGUGCUUGCUGAGUUAAAUAGGAGCUGAGAGGUGGUUUGGAGAACAUCACUGACUCCUCUGUGGUAGAGUUUCAGUGCAGACUUCAGGUUUCUCAGGUAAUACACAUAGAGGACACAGGAUACGUGAGAGGUCACUGCACCACUGGGAAGUGGCUGAAGACCAGCUUCUCUCGACAGACUGGCAGCGUGGUUACAAAGACAAGAGGUGACACAGAAAUCUUCUCUGGAUGCUCCCUUGUGGAGGAAGCCCUGACCCACCCAUGAAGGCCAGCCCAAAACCAAGGAUGACUGACGGUGAUGAAAAGAUCUCCUCUGCCUUCCUGCCCAUGUUUGGCCAUAACAAACAGCUGCUCCAGCUCUGGGUUGAACAGCAGCAGGCUCUGUUGAUGUCCUGCCAGAAAUAGAGAGUAGGGUGAGGAGCCUGCUGCAGACCCACCUCAGCUUCCAAAAGAGUGCUGCUGGAGGCCUGACUUUCCCCAGAUACCGAAGUCAGCCUAACUGGAUAUUUCUGAGAAUGGUAUGUAGCCCUCCUGAAGACUUCUGAGAGCCAGCAGGUCUAUGCUGGAGCCAUCCAGACCUCUUCACACCCCAACCCCCAAAGGAGAAGAGCCCCAUGCACCAAGCAGGACUAAAACUCAGUCUUUUAAUUGGAAAUUGUCAUGUGGAGAAGGGUAGGAGAAAGUGGGGUCGUGUGGGAGGAAGAAAUUCUUUGUGUAAAGCAAUGAGGAAAACCUCUGUGAGACUCUGAAAUGAAAUGGGGAUGGUAUUUUGAAAACGUUUUGGGUUUCAGCAGCAGUGCUGAUAGCAUCAGGAGAUCACCUGACUCCAUAAUUUCAUGUUACCAAUUACUGCAAUCGAAUUGAUUAUAUGAUCUAAAUCCAUGUAUAUUACCUGAGUGUGUGGCCCCUGGUGUUUUGAACACUUAUGCAUAAAGAUUGCCAUAAUUCUUGUUAAUAGUCACUGCAGUUCAUCUAUCGCUCAUCUAUAAUCUCUUGAAGAUAUAAUAGGAAUAAUUACCAUGAGACACAAUGGGGAAACAGAGUCUAACACCUUGACUGAGGCUGAAUCACACCAGAGCCUGCAUUAGUCAAGCUUUGACUGAGGAAUGCCUGAAAAAUUUGGAGUAAAACCUGCUGAAAACCUGGCUGGGUUCCAAAGAUUUGCCCUGCUUUUUGCCACAGAAUUAUUUCCUCUGAGGAAGAUACUGCAAGGGCAGGAGCUAAUUUUGCCAAAUAAAUACUAUCCAAUACUA